rnacentral:lncRNA from 1 species
UAAAAAUUUUGAUUUUGCUAUUGUAAUGUGAAAAUGUGAAAUGAAUGUGAAAAAUGAGUAAGUGCUAGUGGAUAAAUAAUCCUACAGUAUUCAUGUUCAAAGAAUACUAUUAUAUUCCUGUCUGAAAGCUAUGUUCUUUAUUUAGAGAAAUUUACUUGCUAAUUGAAACUCAAAUGCUAUUGAAGCAUUGUUUGCAGAUUUCUAACUUCUGGCUUAAUGCAGAGAAAAUGUGGUCUUAUAAAACUUGGAAAACAUUUAUGUUAAUCAUUUUUAUUGACAUGUCUUCCCUCUAGACCGUUAGAAAGUAAAGGUAGUCAAAACUGAAGUUCCGAAGAGGAAAAAUGAAACUAGUAAACUCUAUUGACAUCUCACUUCCUAAGAAUUUCAGCAUACAGUUUGCCCAUACAAGUUCCAUUAAAGUUAAUGGGAGUCGUGUGACUAAUUCUCUCUGUAGGGUACUAAAAAUGUACCCUGCAGUAUUAAAAAGUCUGAACCUAAUUUUUACUUUCUCUUAACCUUGAUCAUGUUACACUAAAGAUAGAUAUUUUCAUUAUCACACACAUAUAUUGUAAUCUUUGUAUAAAGAUUUGAAAAUAAUCUGUUUGGUGGAGAAGCUGAAUUUAUGUGGGUCAGAGCCGAAUUUUAAUUAGUAUUGCAAAUAUGAGUACUGGUUUCAUUACAAUGAUAAAACAAGCCUAAGUAUCUGUAAUUUACCCUCUAGCAAUACAAAUGAGAACUUAAACCUCAAUGAAUUCAAUAAAUGAAACAUUUUCAGAACACUUACUUAAAAUCAGGUCUACUUUUUAAUCAGUCAUGUUUUAAGUGAAUGCUUAUUAAUAGAGUAUUAAUAAAACAUGCUUAUGG